UACGUAGGGGGCUAGCGUUGUCCGGAAUCAUUGGGCGUAAAGAGCGUGUAGGCGGCCCGGUAAGUCCGCUGUAAAAGUCAAAGGCUCAACCUUUGAAUGUCAGUGGAUACUGCCGGGCUAGAGUCCGGAAGAGGCGAGUGGAAUUCCUGGUGCAGCGGUGAAAUGCGCAGAUAUCAGGAGGAACACCAAUGGCGAAGGCAGCUCGCUGGGACGGUACUGACGCUGAGGAGCGAAAGCGUGGGGAGCAAACAGG
rnacentral:rRNA from 1 species